GACGACGAUGAAGACUUUGAUGACCAAGGAGGCAGUGCAAAGAAAGAGAAGAAAAAAACGGCAGCGGCUGCGGCGGCUGCAGCGAAGAACAAGAAGAAGCAGGUGACGACG
rnacentral:ribozyme from 1 species